rnacentral:rRNA from 1 species
UGAGGAAUAUUGGGCAAUGGGCGAAAGCCUGACCCAGCAACGCCGCGUGAGGGAUGAAGGCCUUCGGGUUGUAAACCUCUUUUCUGGGAGAAGAGACAAGGACGGUAUCCCAGGAAUAAGUCUCGGCUAACUACGUGCCAGCAGCCGCGGUAAUACGUAGGAGGCAAGCGUUAUCCGGAUUCACUGGGCGUAAAGCGCACGCAGGCGGUCAUGUAAGUCGGACGUGAAAGCUCCUGGCUCAACUGGGAGAGGUCGUUCGAUACUGCAUGGCUUGAGGUUGGGAGAGGGAAGCGGAAUUCCCGGUGUAGUGGUGGAAUGCGUAGAUAUCGGGAGGAACACCAGUGGCGAAAGCGGCUUCCUGGCCCAUACCUGACGCUCAGGUGCGAAAGCGUGGGGAGCGAACGGG